rnacentral:rRNA from 1 species
UACGAAGGGGGCUAGCGUUGCUCGGAAUCACUGGGCGUAAAGCGCACGUAGGCGGCUUCUUAAGUCAGGGGUGAAAUCCUGGAGCUCAACUUCAGAACUGCCUUGAUACUGGGGAGCUUCGAGUCCGGGAGAGGUGAGUGGAACUGCGAGUGUAGAGGUGAAAUUCGUAGAUAUUCGCAAGAACACCAGUGGCGAAGGCGGCUCACUGGCCCGGUACUGACGCUGAGGUGCGAAAGCGUGGGGAGCAAACAGG